rnacentral:misc_RNA from 1 species
GUGAGUCAUCGAAUCUUUGAACGCACAUUGCGCCUCCCUUAACCGGGAGGCAUGCCUGUCUGAGCUUCAUUUAAACCAAUCGAUUCUCAUGGAUCGGUGUUGGGCCUCGCCCCCUUGAGCGUCGCCUGAAAGUCAUCUGUCUCACGAGCGGACGAGAUCCUCUGGGACUGACCGUCUGAGACAAUAAGCUUCUGAUUUGAACUCAGAUCAGGUAGGAUUACCGCCUGAACUUAAGCAUAUCAAUAAGCGGAGGA